AGGGGGCUAUCGCAAAGGGUGGUGAUUAGAAUCCAGCUUAUAACUGAGAUUUCUCAAGUGAUGGAGGCAGAGAUUCUGCAAACUUCACAAUUACAGGAGGUUUUAUUUCCCCAAGCUCCAUGUUGCUUUGCUCAAGCAAAAGUACUUUUUUUGGGGGGGGGCAGAAAAAGUCUCACCGAGUUCUGAUGUUUAUGAGCAAAGUAGCAUGGAAAAUAUCAUAUACACUAUGGGCCCCAAUAGAAUUGCCUUAGAAUUGCUGCAUGUUAUCUUUACAUGAUGUGAUGAGCUGCCGUUUGCCUGUCUUCCACAAGCUUCUCACAUGCAGGAAACGUGUAAAAGCAUUGAAAGAGACAAGAAUUCACAUGCUUUCAUAAGAAGUUAAGAAAAAUCCACCUAGAAGUCAAUAAAAUCCACCGCUGACAAAAAUCAUGGCUGCUUUAUGACUACAACACAGGCCCCAGCUCUUCCGAUGUUCAGGGAUGCCAUCUGCAGAGAAGAAAGAAAUAUCAGCUUCAGAGUUUACAUUUGGGAGUGAAAAGGCUGCAGUUUUAUGGCAUGUACUUCUGAGGUGUCAAAACAAGCAACCAGUAAUUCAACAACACAUUAUACAGGAAACCUAAUAUUGCUGCAUCCUUCUAGUUAUGCAUGGAAACAUUGCAUUAAUGGUGGACUUAUGAGCUGGAGUUGAAGACCCUGGCCUAGUGCCUCGCCUCCACAACUGCUAUGAGGGACAUAAAGAUCUAUAGCAUCUGCAAACUGCAGCUAACAAAUCCUUUUCUCCGUUACUCAUUAAUAACCUUUUAAAUUAUGGAACUGUUACAGCUUCAUACAUGUAUACAUUAACUGUCUCCAAGUGUUCCACAGCAUUCAUGCUUGCUUGUUUUAAUGUGCUGCCUUCUGCACUGGGUAUAGGAAAAGGUUGAUUCUCCCUCCAUUGAAAAGUCUUCUGGGAAGAGCUCCUGAAAAUUUGGAACUGUUUUGCUUAAGGCAUGGCUCUUACUAAGAGAAUUGCAAGAGGGGGGGAAUUGACUUCAAUUCAGAUCAAGAGAAUUCUUUUGCUGGCUUCUUGAAAAAUAUAUAAAAAGAAUUAAGUUUUAUUUGUAUGUGUUUUUAUUAAAUUUAUAAGCAACUUUUUAAUGUUCUCUACAGUUAGGCACGUUAAAAACAAAUUGACAAAUAAAAUUAAGACGCAAGUAAAAAGUGUACUUUGCAAUGUGGAGUUUGAAAACUACAGUAAGCAGUAGUAAUUUCAACUACAGUGGUACCUUGGGUUAAGAACUUAAUUCAUUCUGGAGGUCCAUUCUUAACCUGAAACUGUUCUUAAUCUGAGGUACCACUUUAGCUAAUCGGGCCUUCUGCUGCUGCCGCACAAUUUCUGUUCUCAUCCUGAAGCAAAGUUCUUAACCUGAGGUACUA